ensembl:processed_transcript
GGGGCUGUCUGGCAUGGCCAUCGCAGACAUCACCCUCCUAAGUGGAUUCCACGCCCUGAGGGCUGACCUGGAGAAGCUGACCUCUCUCUCUGACCGUUACGUGAGUCACUUUGAGACUGACGGGCCCCAUGUCCUGUUGUACUUUGACUCGAUCACAAGUGCUCUGUGUUUUAUGCUGCACCCACCAAGAGCCAGCUCCUGGCCACACUGUGCUCUGGAGAUGUAUGCCAGUGCGCUGAGGGGAAGUGCCCUCGACUGCUAAGGUCACUGGAGCGAAGGGUGGAGGACAAGGACGGCUACCGGAUGAGGUUCGCCUGCUAUUAUCACCAAGUGGAGUAUGGCUUCACGGUUAAG